UGAAAUAAAAUAGUACAUGAGGUAUGAAAGUGAAAUGUUUUAAAGAUGUUGUAUGAGGUUGUAAUAAACCUCAAACCUGAGGGGCUACUAUGUAAUUUACCCUUUCUUUUAAUAAAUUUCCUAUUAUUAAAUUAAUAUUUGUAUUGAAUUAAAUACAUAUUAGUUAAUUAAAUAUUAAAUAAUAUGAGACUCGAAAUGAAAGUACCCUUCUCACAUACAUUCCCCAUUACGUUGUCGGAACAAAAAUAUUGCAUGUAUCAAUAUGGAUGGAAAUAUUUAGUACAUGAAAUAACGAUUUGCUAAAUAUAUAAAUAGAUAUAUAAGAUAUAACUAAUAAAACGGAUCUUGUGUUCUGGAAUUGGAAUCAAAGAAAGAUAUUUAAAAUGGCUUGUAUGUUGUGACUUGGAAUAAAUGUUUCUCGGUAAAGGAAGGGAAUAGUACUUUAUUCCUUCCUAAUUUAUUCAUAUAGAACGUCUAGGAACAAAAAGAUUAAAUAAGAUAUAUAGACAGAUUCCUGCGUAGUCCGAAGAAAAAGAAAGAUCCAAUUUCAUCUCUAUCCAAUUUUGAUAUGAGAAUAGUGGAUAUAAUUAUGAUGCAAUGGGUUAGGUCCACUUGCUUUUUAUUUUGUUGAUUUCUAAUCGAUUUAAUUGGAAUAAUGGAAAAUAGGAAAGGAAUGGUAAUAUAUGAAGAUUUAACGAGACGACUUAUCCUUACAUUCAUUAUAAUAUUUAAUAAAUAAUAUUUAUAAUAAUUAUAUUAUUUAUUUAAUAAUUAAUAAUAUAUUAUUUAUUUAAUAAUAUAUUUAAUUUAUUAAAAUAGAAAAUUUAUAACCAUACUAUAAUAAAUUUUAAUGUUAUAAUUUUGAUUAUAUAUUAAAAUAUGUUGCAGUCAUAUUUAGAAUAGGAAUGUGAUUGUGUAAAUCCUAGUAGAUAUGAGAAUAUAUCUUAUAUUCCUAUUAGGAGUAGAUUACCUAUUAAAUGUUGUAAUCCUAAAGGGAAAAGUUUUUAUCUAUCCUACUAUUAUAAAUAAAGGCACAAUGGGGUGAAUCAAAUAUACCUCACAAUUAAAUCAAUAUCUUCUCUCUAACCAUAGUCGGCCCCCUCUCUCUCUCUAAAUCGUAGAUCUUUCAAUCAAAUAGGCCUACAACACGUUAUUAGCACGCUUUUGCCAGAAGUUGAGGAAUUGACGCAUUGUAUGAGGAGGCUAUCAUCCACCAAAUUCAAAGACUUAUUAGUUUUCUGCUAAUCAAGUACGCUUAAAAUAAAAAAAGGUAUUUGAAACGUCCACGAAGCAUGAAAACAUUCCCCAUGAUGCAUGAACCCUUCUAUGUUUAUAUUUUCCUUACGAUAUACAUAUUGUAUAUGUUUAUAUAUUUGUUUCAUGCAUUGUACAAUUAAAUUGUUAUGUGGAAUUUGUGAGCCAAAUUAUAUAAAAUAAAUUAGAAGCAUAUUUAGGGUAUUCCUAAACCCUUAGGGAUUUUUGAAAAGAAAAAAAGUGGAUAUGGUGCGGCACACCACCGCACCAUCAUUGUGGAAGUAGCCACCAAGCCUCGGCCUGGAACUAACCUCGGCAAGGCCUAAAGUCCCAUGCUUCAUCCCGCUGCCUUGGCCCAUAGCCAUAACACCAGCCCUUUUGCGGCUGGGCUUCCCGCCACCCGUGCCCAAACCAAUGCCAGCCUUUUGUGCUGGGCUUUGUGCACACCCCCAGCCCGUUUCUCGAGCCCAGUUUGAUGUGUCUAAAGCAUGCUGCCGUGCCUUUCCCUUGGCCCAAAUUGAAAUCCAGUUGCGGCUGAGGUUUCUCCAGCACCCCCUGUGGCCUGCAGUUACUCCUGAGGCCCUUUUGGGCCUUGCCUUUUACUCAAGGCACCCAACUCUUGCCCAAUUAUUUUUCGGGCAAUAUUUUUCGACCCAACUGCUAUUAUUUUUGCAUUCUAUAUAAUUUUACCCGUAUGUUAUUAUUAUUUUGCUUCUACAAUCGACCCCGUAUGGCCCGAUUUAUUGAAUUAAUUAAAAGUGACUUGCAGUCCAUUAAUCUGAUAAUAAAUCCAAAAUUAUUGACCUGAAGAUCACUUUUGGACAUUAACGAUUCAAUAAUUUAUUUUUAUACUUUGAAUCGUCACAUACUUUCGUAGUAAUGAAGCUCUCACAAUUGAGUUCCUGAAGAACCUCAAAUCCACUAUAUUCAAAUUAGUAUAUUGCAUUCUGUGUUUCUUGCAAGAACCUCUCAUUAUGAACUAAUUGUUCAUAAAACUAAAUUGAACCUGUAGUUUCAAAUUUAGUGCCUUUGAAACCUGAAGUUUUCAUUUAAAACAUACCACAUGAAACCUAUAGUUUUCAUGCAUAAAUUAAACCAAUACAUGUUUAUAGAACUUGUAUGUUCUACGAUAUAUGUCUAUGGCUUACCAUAUGACUACUCACAUUUUCUCCGCUUUAGAAGUAUCUGGAAGAAACUAUCUAAAGUGCGUUCAAGACGUGAAGCUCCAUCUGACUGCAAAGGGCAUUAGAGCCACCAUCGAGACACCUAUCGCCGACAAACCUAUUGACAAAGCCCAGAAGGCUAUUGCAAUGAUCUUCAUUCGAAGACACAUCCAUGAUGCACUGCAGACUGAGUAUCUCAAUGAGGAGGACCCACGCACUUUCUGGCUUGCUCUGGCCGACCUUUUCGAUCACCAGAAAGACAUAUACUUUCCUGAAGCAAGACACGACUGAUAGCAUCUUCGCUUCUAGGACUUUAAGUCCAUGAAUGAAUACAACUCUGAAGUUUGUAGAAUCCAUUCAUUGUUAAAAUUCGGCAAAGUGGAACUAACCGAAUAAGAUCUCCUAGAGAAUACCUAUUCGACCUUCCAUGCCACCAAUAUUGUCCUACAGCAACAAUAUAGGGCAUAUAAAUUCACCAAGUUUUUGGAUUUGAUCUCUGUUUUGCUUCUUGCUGAAAAGCAGAACCAGCUUUUGAUGAAGAAUCAUCAAGCUCGACCCAUUGGCUCAAACGCCGCGCUUGAAGCGCAUACUAAUUCUAACAGCCAUAAAUGACGAAAGAAUUGUUGUGGCCAAUGGGCCACAUGCCCAACCACAGGCCUAAGGUCAACAGAGUGCCGCACCUAAGGGAAGAAAUGUGACCCAGCAGCAUUCACCACUCGCCCCUAAGACCCCAAACUUGAAGAACAAGGGUAAAGCUCCCGUUCAGCCCGCUUCUACUGAACUGGACAUGUGCUAUCGUUAUGGAUCAAGGGAUCAUUGGUCACGCGUAUGCCGAGCUUCUCCUGAGGCUAUUGCCAAGUAUCAUUCCCGUCGUGAGUCUAACUUUACACACGUGGAUCAUCUUGAAAAUGCUACUUCAUUAAUGGAGAUAUCGGAUUUUUAGAAGGUGUCAGCGCCUAUGGAUGAAUAAAUUAGACAUUUUUAGGGUGUUUACCCCUAGUGGCUGAACCCACUAGGAGUGGCUGGCCCUACCCCCCCUAUUUCUCUAGGUUUAUGGUUUAAUUUUAAACAAUUUUUCUAAGUAUUUGGAAUAAUUUGUUUGGUUUUGGUUUGUUUUGAAUUAUGGAUUGUUAUUUGAAUGGGUAUUAUUUUCUCGAAUUGCUUAAUUGAAUGAAUGGACUUAUAUAUAUGCAUGUGACAAAUUCAAUCAAUUUAUUUCUAGGUAUGUCUAGUGGGGAAGUUAGUUGUAUAGCAGAUAGUGCAACCACGCACACCAUCUUGUGUGAACGACACUAUUUUACUAACUUAAUACCCAAGAAAACUCAUUUGACAACUCUUUCAGGCUCAUCCAACUUGAUUGAAGGAUACAUAAAGACAUAUAUCAUGUUGUCCAAUGGUACAAUCUUGACCAUUAAAGAGGCACUCUAUUCUCCACGUUCCGAAAGAAUGUUACUGAGUUUUAGAGAUAUUCGAGAUAAUCAAUAUCAUAUUGAAACCACUGAAGAUAAUGGUUCUGAAUUUCUUUGUAUCACUUCAUACGAAUAUGGCUAGAAGCGUAUUCACGAGAAGUUGGAACGUUUGCCAAGUGGGUUGUACAUCACAACCAUUCGUGGCAUAGAAGCCCACAGUGUGGUCGGCCCUAUGCCUGAGUUCCAGGACACUUUGUUGCUUUGGCAUGACCGUUUGGGACAUCCUGGACGUGACAUGAUGCGCCAUAUCCUCAAAUCUUCACACGGGCAUAAGUUACAUCCCUACGUUGGACUCCCGUCAUGCAAAGCGUGUUCUUUAUUGAAGUUGAAUACUCAACCCUCAUAUACAAAGAUUAUUCACGACCCCCAUAAGUUUCUUAAGAAGAUUCAAUGGGACAUUUGUGGACCUAUCCAACCAACAUACGGACCAUUUAGAUACUUUUUUGUGUUGGUUGAUGCAUUGACAAGAUGGUCACAUGUUUGCUUGUUGUCUACACGCAACACCGCGUUUGCUAAACUUUUAGCUCAAAUCAUUAAGUUAAGGGCUCACCACCCUGAUUAUCCGAUUAAGUCAAUUCGACUAGAUAAUGUUGGAGAGUUUACGUCACAGACUUUUGACGAUUAUUGCAUGUCAGUAGGAAUUGAUGUGGAACAUCCUGUACCUCAUGUUCACACCCAAAACGGCAUGGCAGAAGCUUUCAUAAAGUGCCUUCAAUUGAUUGCUCGGUCUUUGGUUAUGAGAACCAAACUGUCGGUAUUUGCCUGGGGCUAUCCAAUAUUGUACGCAGCUAUGUUGGUUCGCCUGAGGCCCACCGCUACUCAACUACAUUCACCGUUACAGUUGGUCAUUGGAUACGAGUUUGACGUCUUGCAUUUACGGGUGUUUGGGUGCGCCAUUUAUGUGCCAAUAGCGCCACCGCUACGUACCAAAAUGGGUCCAUAGAGAAAAAUGGGAAUCUAUGUCGGUUAUGAUUUGCCAUCAAUUGUUCGCUACUUAGAACCCUUGACAAGGGAUCUUUUUACCUCACGUUUUGCGGAUUGUCACUUUGAAGAGACAGUCUUCCUGUCGUUAAGGGGAGAUAAGCAUGCUAACGUUCCUGUAGAACGCUGCGAAUUGUGGUGGUAUGCUCCCAUUAUGUCUCAUUUAGAUCCUCGCAUUGCCCAGUCUGAAAUUGAGGUGCGACAAAUUAUAGAUCUUCAGAGCAUUGCUCAAAGCAUGCCGAAUGCUUUUAAUGAUCUAGCAAAGGUGACAAGAUCACUUAUACCCGCUGCAAACACACAUGCAAGGAUAGAUGUACCCCGUGUAUGUCAACAACCCGCCUGGGAAGGCCGGACCAUUUCGGGAGGCUGCACCCUUCACGCGGCAAGGUACAUUGGUGGUUAGCCAAUCAUCUGUUUCGACCCUGAAGCAUGGCAGACCCCUUGGUUCAAUGGAUUCACAACCCCGGAAGAGAAAAAUGGCACCAACUAGUGACCCUAGUUUGAAUCCGACCAUCGCUCACUCAUCCGUUCCAACGCAUGAGGUUAUUCUAGAUUACCGUGAUGUUUCAGACGAAACAUGCCGGCCCUCAGAGAAUGGUGAGAUUUUGGUCCACUACGCAAUCUUGGAUGAGAUUUGGAAUAUGAAUGAGAUGAUCUUCGAUGAUACAUUCGUGUACUCAGUAGCUACUGACAUCAUGCUUAGUGAUGACAUUGAACCACGUUUCAUCGAUGAAUGCCGACAUAGAACUGAUUGGUCAAACUGGAAACAAGAAAUCCAGGUUGAACUCGAUUCGCUUGCGAAACAUAAGGUAUUUGGAUCUAUCAUUCCUACACACCACGCAUGAAGCCUGUUGGCUACAAGUGGGUUUUCGAAAGGAAGCGUAAUGAGAAGAAUGCAAUAGUGUGAUACAAAGCACGCCUCGUAGCGCAAAGCUUUUCUUAGCACCCUGGGAUUGAUUAUGAGGAGACAUAUUCCCCCAUAAUGGACGUUAUAACGUUCCGUUACCUAAUCAGUUUGGUAGUUUUUAACAAACUGAAUAUGCAGCUGAUGGACGUGGUAACAGCGUAUCUCUAUGGGGAUCUAAGAUACAAAAAUUUACAUGAAAGUUCCAUAAGGACUUGCAUUGACUGAUUCAAAUAGUUCUAGACCACGAAACACUCUCUCAAUUAGGUUGAAGAGGUCACUCUACGGAUUGAAACAAUCUGGGCGGAUGUGGUAUAACCGUCUGAGUGAAUAUUUGACAAGUCAGGAUUAUGUGAACAAUGAAUUAUGCCCAUGUGUGUUCAUAAAGAAGUCACAUUCCGGAUUUGCAAUCUUUGCAGUUUAGGUCAAUGACAUGAACCUCAUUGGGACUCUUGUAGAGCUUGAGGAAAUUGCUGCACACUUGAAAUCGGAAUUUAAGAUGAAAGAUCUUGGGAAAACUCGAUAUUGUCUUAGCCUGGAGAUCGAGCAUUGUUCGGAUGGAAUCCUAGUACAUCAAUCGAACUACACCCAAAAUGUGUUGCGUCGUUUUAAUGAGGAUAAAGCGAUACCUUCGAGUACACUCAUGAUCUCAAACUCUAGAUGCUAAAUGAGAUCCUUCCGUCCAAAGGAGGAUGAGGAAGAGAUUUUGGAACCCGAAGUUCCUUACCUAAGUGCAAUUGGGGCUUUAUUGUACUUGGCUCAAUGCACUAGACUUGACAUCUCAUUCGUUGUGAAUCUUUUGGCAAGAUGCAACAAUGUGGCUACACGCAGACAUUGGAAUGGUGUUAAAGACAUUUUCCGCUACCUCAAAGGUACACCGGAUUUGGGCUUGUUCUAUACCCAUGAAUCUCUGAAUGUUGUCGCCCCCUAUGGUCUUUGGAUUGAUUCUCGCCUUGUUGGUUACACAGAUGUUGGAUAUCUGUCUAACCCACAUAGGGCACAUUCUCAAAUAAGUUAUGUCUUUACCGUUGGAGACAUUACUAUAUCUUGGAGGUUUACCAAGCAAACGCUAAUUGCAACUUCGUCGAACCAUGCUAAGAUUCUUGCCCUGCAUGAAGCAUUGCGUGAAUGCUUAUGGUUGAGAGAAGUUAUGGGAUGCAUUCGAAGCACUAGUGGUCUUACAUCAGUCGUUGACCUUCCUAUAACGAUCUUUGAAGACAAUGCAGCAUGUAUCGAGCAGUUGAAGAAAAGAUAAAUCAAGGGAGACAACACCAAGCACAUAACGCUGAAGUUCUUUUACUCACACCAACAACAUUAAUAUCAGAACAUUGAAGUCAAGCAAAUCCAUUCCCAGGACAACCUGGCAGAUCUUUUCACCAAGUCAUUGCCCAAGUCUACUUUUCAGAAGCUCGUCCAAGGAAUCGGUAUGUGUAAAUUAUCUGAGUUGAAUCGCUUAUAGUUCUCUUAUUUAGAAGUUAUGUCUAACUCAGGAGGAGUAUCUAGAAGCAUACUCACAUGAUAUUAAUGUACUCUUUUUCCUACGAUUAGGAGCAUUUUUCCCACUAGGUUUUUGCUAACUAACGAUGUUUAAUGAGGCACCCAUCCUGGGAUGAUCAUACUUCGUUGAGUUCACUAGUUUCGUCCUGUUUGACGUUUGUUUAAAGACAUUAUGCAUACUUCUCACUUUUCUCCUUAGUCUAUGGGUUUUCCCCUGCCUUGGGUUUUACCAUAGCGAGGUUUUGUGAAUUUUACUACAAAUGCAUACUUCACUUAAAUUUGAGACUCGUGAUCACCCGUUGUGCCGAUGACUUCAUCAACUAUUCUACCUUAUCUACUGAAGAUCUGAUGUGAUGGUUUGUUGAGUAUUUACACUAUUUAGAAUAAGAAUGUGAUUGUGUAAAUCCUAGUAGAUAUGGGAAUGUAUCUUAUAUUCAUAUUAGGAGUAGAUUACCUAUUAAAUGUUGUAAUCCUAAAGGGAACGGUUUUUACCUAUCCUACUAUUAUAAAUAAAGGCACAAUGGGGUGAAUCAAACACACCUCACAAUUAAAUCAAUAUCUUUUCUCUCUAAACAUAGCCACCCCCCCUCUCUCUCUAAACCCUAGAUCGUUCGAUCAAAUAGGCCUACAACAAAAUAUUAAAUUAUACGGUCUUUUACUUUUUUUUUUAUUACUUUAUUACAAAGAUCAAUAAUAUCUCAUUCACCUAUUAAUGAUGGUAAUCAAAUCUAGUAAAAAAGAGUACGAGAUUUACAAUUCAAGUGGUUAAGACUUAAAGAGAUUGUAUUGCUACACCCAAAGUCGUGUAUUUGAAUCCUCUUAUCAUUUGUUUUGAAGAAAAGAAAAUUUUGGUUA
rnacentral:lncRNA from 1 species